CCCUUAGAUGUUCUGGGCCGCACGCGCGCUACACUGAUGCAUUCAACGAGUCUAAAACCUGGUCUGAUAGGGCUGGGUAAUCUUUUGAAAGUGCAUCGUGAUUGGGAUAGAUGAUUGCAAUUCUUCAUCUUCAACGAGGAAUGCCUAGUAAACGCAAGUCAUCAGCUUGCAUUGAUUACGUCCCUGCCCUUUGUACACACCGCCCGUCGCUCCUACCGAUUGAAUGAUCCGAUGAAUACCAUGGAUUGCGAGUACGAAUGGGUUCGCUCAUUUCUGCUGCUCGAGAAGUGGAGUAAAUCUUAUCAUUUAGAGGAAGGAGAAGUCGUAACA
rnacentral:rRNA from 1 species